GGAGGAUUUACCUUUCAGAUUGAAACCAAUGCACAACACACAUGGUGUACAGAUACACUGGAUUUGUUACUCAACUUUGUUUGGUCACAGUUAAUGGCAGAUGGGAGCAUUGCGCUGCAUUACAUUGCAAUUUAAUAAUGCGUGGAUGUGAAAUGUUGCAAAAGCAAAGUUGCUCUAUUUCACAGAUCUAGCGCUCUUCAGGUGCCCUCUACUAUGUGUGUGCAGAUGUUCAAAGGAGUUUUAGAUUCAGCUGUAACAGGGUGAACAGAACAGCAGCUUGCAAGAAUGAACAAAGGUUCACCAGAGAACUUGUUAGGUAUAGCAACCUUUGGUUCUGGAGGAUGUGGAGCAGCAGCAGGAGGAGGAGAAGCUGACCCAGAGGCAGAUACAGAAGGCUGAAGUGCUCUUGGACUUGAGUAUACCCCCUUGCUGUUCUCUCACUGCUCAUACAUUUUUGUGGAGAUCCACACAUUUCUUAUUGCAUCAUCUACACUUUCAAAUAAAAUGGGUAUUUGUAGCAAAAUUACUAAAACAUGUCGAAAUCACGUAAAAGUCAACGGCAGAAGUCCCUUCGUGACCUUUAAGAGUUUCGGGCUGGUUUUUAUUCGACAAUCCAAAAAGGACGCUUAGGUAAAACUAGGAAUAGCUUUACAUUUGUAAAGAUGAAAAUGUGCUGACCACAAGGAAAAAAAGAAGCGUAAAAUUAUGGAAGUUCCAAUGCAAUAUUCAGUUAUCUGUUAUGUCUCAUGGUAAAAUAUAUAUGCUGAAUAGGUCUAUAUCUGAGAGCAUCCCUAAUGCAUAUGGGAAAUUCACACUGUGGUAAAUAUGUAAAGCUGUAUUUGUAAAAUAGGCCAAAUGCCUUCCUGGGAAUAAAAAUAAUUUGUCACUUGAAAGUUAAUGUAAUACUGUAACAUACUGGUGCCAUCUACCUGCUCUGCAAUAACAAAAUAUAAGUGUUUCAAAUUGAGAAAGCUUUAGCAAAUAUACCAUAUCAUGCAAUGCCUAAGGUAUUGGCCAAGCUUCCUACAGUGAUAUUUAUUCAUCUGGAACAAAUAAAGUCCCACUAAGUAACUGUUAUUGUCUGAAAAUUAUUUUCCUUUUUUCCUCUUAGUAAAAAUGACCUGACAUCCUGGGCUUAUUCUAAAGACAAUCUAAAAUGUUAUUGGUGUGACAGGGCUCUACUAGAAUUU